AGAAAAGACUGCAUCUGGAAGGCCCCCAAGGAUGUGUGGGGAAGAGACCAGAUUCCAGGGAGUCACAGAGGUACAACUGAAGGAUAUCAUGGUGGAAGAGUGAGGUGGACUGUGGUUCCACGAAAUGGACCAUCGUGAGAAAAAAAGGCUAAACUGUAGAAGAUGAAGGCAUGGGUACCAAGAACCCACAGGAGUGUAGAAAAUAACAAAAUUCUCCCCACCUGAAGCUGCCAGAAGAAUUCCAAG